rnacentral:rRNA from 1 species
UACGUAGGGACCGAGCGUUGUCCGGAAUCAUUGGGCGUAAAGAGCGUGUAGGCGGCUAUUUAAGUCCUGCGUGAAAUCCUGCGGCUCAACCGCAGACGGUCGUGGGAAACUGGAUGGCUAGAGUGCGGGAGAGGAGAGUGGAAUUCCUGGUGUAGCGGUGAAAUGCGCAGAUAUCAGGAAGAACACCUAUGGCGAAGGCAGCUCGCUGGGACGGUACUGACGCUGAGGCGCGAAAGCGUGGGGAGCAAACAGG